rnacentral:rRNA from 1 species
UUUUAAUAGUACUAAUUAUUAAUAAGAUCUGCUCAAUGAAAAUUAAAUAGCCGCAGACUCUGUGCUAAGGUAGCAUAAUCAUUUGCCUUUUAAUUUAAGGCUAGAAUAAAUGAUUUAACAUUUUAAUUAAUUUCUUUCAUUUAAUAUUUUUAAUUUUUCUUAAAUGUAAAAAGACAUUUAUAUAUAAAAUAGACAAUAAGACCCUAUUAAAUUUAACUAAAGUUAAACUGGGGCAGUUAAUUAAUUAUUAUUUUAAUUAAAUUAAUAAUUAAUUUAUCCAAUAAAAUUUAAUAAAUUCAAUUACUAUAGGGAUAACAGCAUAAUAAAUAUUAUAAGACCUUAUAUAAAUAAUAGAUUAUGACCUCGAUGUUGAAUAAUAAUCUAAAUUGAGCAAAAGCUUUAUAAGAGAGUCUGUUCGACUUUUAAAAAAUUACA